GUGCUCACAUUGGCAGCACGUAUACUAAAUUGGAACAACGCAGAGAAGAUUAGCAUGUCCCCUGCAUAAGGAUGACACGCAAAUUCAUGAAGUCUUCUAUAUCUUU
ensembl:snRNA U6 U6 spliceosomal RNA